CCCUUAGAUGUUCUGGGCCGCACGCGCGCUACACUGACGGAGGCGGCGAGCGUGUCCUUCGCCGGCAGGUGCGGGCAAUCUUGCGAGUCUCCGUCGUGCUGGGGAUAGAUGGUUGCAAUUGUCGAUCUUGAACGAGGAAUUCCUAGUAAGCGCGAGUCAUCAGCUCGCGCUGAUUACGUCCCUGCCCUUUGUACACACCGCCCGUCGCUACUACAGAGUGCCCGUGUCCAAGAAACGGUCGGACCUGUGCGGCCUCUCCGGGCGACCGGAGGGCCGUUACGGGGAAGACCCUUUAUUUGACGCGGGUCGAUGAAGUAAAAGUCGUAACA
rnacentral:rRNA from 1 species